rnacentral:rRNA from 1 species
GAUGAACGCUGGCGGCGUGCUUAAUACAUGCAAGUCGAACGAACAGAUGAGGAGCUUGCUCCUUUGACGUUUGCGGCGGACGGGUGUGACACACGUGGAUACUCUACCUAUCAGUCGGGGAUCACUUCGGGAAACCGGCUCUUAUCCCGUAUAAUAUCUUGCUCCGUAUUGGGCAAUAGUAAAAUACGGUUUUGCUGUCUCUUAUCGCUGGAUACCCGCCGCAUUAGCUAGUUGGUAAGGUCACGGCUUACCAAGGCAACGAUGCGUAGCCGACCUGAGGGAGUGAUCGGCCACACUGGAACGUAGACACGGACAAUAGGCCUACGGGAGGCAGCAGUAGGGAAUCGUCCGCAGUGGGGGGAAGCCUGACGGAGCAACGCCGAGUGAGAGAUGAAGGUGUUGGGAGCGUGAUAAUGUGUUAUUAGGGAAGAACAAAUGUGUAAGUAAAUAUGCACGUCGUGACGGUAACGAAUCAGAAAGCCACGGCUAACUACGUG